UACGUAGGGUGCAAGCGUUAAUCGGAAUUACUGGGCGUAAAGGGUGCGCAGGCGGUUAUAUAAGACAGAUGUGAAAUCCCCGGGCUCAACCUGGGAACUGCGUUUGUGACUGUAUGACUAGAGUACGGUAGAGAGGGGUGGAAUUCCUGGUGUAGCAGUGAAAUGCGUAGAUAUCAGGAGGAACAUCGAUGGCGAAGGCAGCCCCUUGGACCUGUACUGACGCUCAUGCACGAAAGCGUGGGGAGCAAACAGG
rnacentral:rRNA from 1 species